GCCAGGCAUGGUGGCGUGUGCCUGUAAUCCCAGCUACUUGGGAGGCUGAGGCAGGAGAAUCACUUGAACCCAGGUGGCAGAGGUUGCAGUGAGCCGAGAUUAUGCCACUGCACUCCAGCCUGGGUGACAGAGUGAGACUCUGUCUCAA
ensembl:misc_RNA Metazoa_SRP Metazoan signal recognition particle RNA